rfam:Parcubacteria bacterium GW2011_GWA1_40_21 TT90_C0011, whole genome shotgun sequence.
GGGCCGUUAGCUUAGCUGGCAGAGCGCCACAUUUGCAAUGUGGAGGUCGCCGGUUCGAAUCCGGCACGGUCCA